rnacentral:lncRNA from 1 species
AAUGUCAUAGGUAGACUAAUGGUUGGCCUGCAUUGGUGGAAUGAGCCAUUGGGUAUUUGAGUCCAGGAAGGCUAGGAAGGCAUCCCCUCAAGAGAACAAAGCUGUGCCAGAGGCAGCAUCAUCUUCUGGUUGGGGCUUAUCUAUUCAGUGCUGUGGGUGAUAUUCUCCUUUGAUGCUCUGUUUCAUUUCAGAGUGCGGUGGUUCGCAGUGAUCAUCAGAGCUGUGGUGCAAUAAGGUGCCAAGCUAUCUGGCUACAUCAGGUGUAAAAUGGGUAGCAGAAAGAAUUUAACCAGCACGGCUAUGUCUUAUCUUGGAAAGUUCAUAGGACAAAAUAUUGGAGAUAAUCAGACU